rnacentral:lncRNA from 1 species
CCUACAUGGUUGAAUCAAUUCAUUAGAUUUGAUCCAAGUUAAGUGGCAGUAGCAUAUAGCUAGUCAGGAGAAAGAAUGGGACAGGACUUAGCCAACUUCGGCACCACAUUCAGUGCAAGGGGAUAAAGCACAGCACUUGUUGUGAGAGGCAAUCAAGCAACAGAAGGGACCAGACACAUCUCCUACACAAAAAAAUCUGGUGGCAAACUUGGGGAAUUUAGAAGAGAGACAUGUAUGUGCUUUAUUACUGAUUUUGUUGUUUUGGGGACAAAAUUGGGAGGAAUAUAAUUUGGAGGCUUUUGCUGUGUUGUUCCUUUUUUUUUUUUUUUUUUUUUUUUUGGAGAUGUCUCAAACUUUUGCAAAUGAUAUAAAUCAAGCAAUCAUUUUAUCUUUUACCAAUAAUAAAAAUGAAAUAUAUAGCAAUGGAUUCUGUAUUUCAUCAGGUGAUAUCAGCUCAUUUCAUGCUAAAAUCUAUUUUCUGUCUUCCUAAUUUAGGCUUCUCUGGCAAACUUGAAGUUUUAAAAAUGAGUGGCUUUGAUUUCCUUCCAGGUAGAACUUUUAAGAUCUCAUGGCUGCUGGACGGCUGUGCAUUGCUGUUUUUCUGGAGUAUUGAUGGAAAGUGUCCUGAUGUUAUACAAAGACUAUUAGUUCUUCACUCAACCAGUAAGGAUUUAAAUGGUACAUAAGGGAGACUUUAUAAGUAACAGUAAAAAUACAUAUAGAUAUUUCUUUGUCCUUUCAUAUUUCCCCUUUCAUACAAGUUAUUUAAAAUAAAC